CGGAGUGUAGCGCAGUCUGGUAGCGCAUCUGCUUUGGGAGCAGAGGGUCGUUGGUUCGAAUCCAGCUACUCCGACCA
rnacentral:tRNA from 1 species